rnacentral:rRNA from 1 species
UACGUAGGGUGCAAGCGUUGUCCGGAAUUAUUGGGCGUAAAGAGCGUGUAGGCGGCCCGAUUAGUCCGCUGUGAAAGUCCAGGGCUCAACCCUGGAAUGCCGGUGGAUACUGUCGGGCUAGAGUCCGGAAGGGGCGAGUGGAAUUCCUGGUGUAGCGGUGAAAUGUGCAGAUAUCAGGAGGAACACCAAUGGCGAAGGCAGCUCGCUGGGACGGUACUGACGCUGAGGCGCGAAAGCGUGGGGAGCAAACAGG